GACGAACGCUGGCGGCGUGCCUAAUACAUGCAAGUUGAGCGCUGAAGGUUGGUACUUGUACCAACUGGAUGAGCAGCGAACGGGUGAGUAACGCGUGGGGAAUCUGCCUUUGAGCGGGGGACAACAUUUGGAAACGAAUGCUAAUACCGCAUAAAACCUUUAAACACAAGUUUUAAGUUUGAAAGAUGCAAUUGCAUCACUCAAAGAUGAUCCCGCGUUGUAUUAGCUAGUUGGUGAGGUAAAGGCUCACCAAGGCGAGGAUACAUAGCCGACCUGAGAGGGUGAUCGGCCACAUUGGGACUGAGACACGGCCCAAACUCCUACGGGAGGCAGCAGUAGGGAAUCUUCGGCAAUGGACGAAAGUCUGACCGAGCAACGCCGCGUGAGUGAAGAAGGUUUUCGGAUCGUAAAACUCUGUUGGUAGAGAAGAACGUUGGUGAGAGUGGAAAGCUCAUCAAGUGACGGUAACUACCCAGAAAGGGACGGCUAACUACGUG
rnacentral:rRNA from 1 species